AAGGUCCAGAUAUGAGUGUGUUUGCUCUGAAGACUUUUGAAGGCAGAGGUCAUCACGCAUAAACCUUAGGAAUGCAUGGAGGGGGUCAGCGUAUGCUUUCUUCCACCUCUCUACUCGACCUGAAGGCACUCAGAAGGUCACCUUGGAAGAUUAGAUGAUGUCUUGAAAAGGUGAGCACUGACAAUGCUUG